rnacentral:rRNA from 1 species
AGAUUGAACGCUGGCGGCAGGCCUAACACACGCAAGUCGAGCGGUAGAGAGGUGCUUGCAUCUCUUGAGAGCGGCGGACGGGUGAGUAAUGCCUAGGAAUCUGCCUGGUGGUGGGGGAUAACGUUCGGAAACGGACGCUAAUACCGCAUACGUCCUACGGGAGAAAGCGGGGGACCUUCGGGCCUCGCGCCAUUAGAUGAGCCUAGGUCGGAUUAGCUAGUUGGUGAGGUAAUGGCUCACCAAGGCGACGAUCCGUAACUGGUCGUGAGAGGAUGAUCAGGGGGUCACACUGGAACUGAGACACGGUCCAGACUCCGUACGGGA